rnacentral:rRNA from 1 species
UACGAAGGGGGCUAGCGUUGCUCGGAAUCACUGGGCGUAAAGCGCACGUAGGCGGAUUGUUAAGUCAGGGGUGAAAUCCUGGAGCUCAACUCCAGAACUGCCUUUGAUACUGGGGAUCUCGAGUUCGGGAGAGGUGAGUGGAAUUCCGAGUGUAGAGGUGAAAUUCGUAGAUAUUCGGAGGAACACCAGAAGCGAAGGCGGCUCACUGGCCCGAUACUGACGCUGAGGCGCGAAAGCGUGGGGAGCAAACAGG